rnacentral:misc_RNA from 1 species
GAUGAAGAACGUAGCGAAAUGCGAUACGUAAUGUGAAUUGCAGAAUUCAGUGAAUCAUCGAGUCUUUGAACGCACAUUGCGCCCCCUGGUAUUCCGGGGGGCAUGCCUGUCCGAGCGUCAUUGCUGCCCUCAAGCACGGCUUGUGUGUUGGGCCUCCGCCCCCCGGCUCCCGGGGGGCGGGCCCGAAAGGCAGCGGCGGCACCGCGUCCGGUCCUCGAGCGUAUGGGGCUUCGUCACCCGCUCCGUAGGCCCGGCCGGCGCCCGCCGGAGACCCCCCUCAAUCUUUCCAGGUUGACCUCGGAUCAGGUAGGGAUACCCGCUGAACUUAAGCAUAUCAAUAAGCGGAGGA